ACAGCAAUGGGGUAAAUAAAAUAAUGUAUAAAUAUUAAAAUGAAACUAGCGUCCCUACUUCGCGGAUUUUCACUUAUCGCAGGUGGUCCUAGAACGUAAUCCUGCAAUAAGUGAGGGAACACUGUAUAUUUUAUCAGCAUCUGGAAAACCAUAGAAAGUUUCUGUAGAAUGAAGUAAGAUGGAUGAGCAUUUGGUGUCAUUUUGGGUGUUCCUUUUUUUUUCAAUUACUUUUCAGUGAGACAGAAACUGAUGAUCUCCACAGUUAUCCUGCAUUACUGGAAGGCCAAAAAGUCUGUUCUGCUUUGGAGAUGCUAUUGGAGCUUUUCUCAUGCUGUUACUGAAAAACCAGAUUUGUUUAUGUCGAGAUGUACAAAAAGUGUUUUUUCUUUUAAAAAAAACAUAAAACAAAGUGAGGACAGAUUUCAGAAACUGUUCUAAUCCAGUGUCCAAGACUGCAACUAUAUGUCAUCUUAGUAAUAGAACUAGUAAUAGAACUGGCAUGUUGGGUUGGGUCGUUCAAAGGUUAGCACAAUCAUAAUGAAAAUAGAGGGCAUGUUUGCCAUUGAAAAGGAUAAAUUGUUUAUGGUGGCUCCAGAGGUAUUGCUCAGCAUUAUGAAAAGAAAAUGAAUAAAGGAAAAUGAAGGCUGCAUAUCAGGAAACAAUUUCUUUAAGUGAGCUUUAAAAAGCUGCUCAAUAGCUUCCCAAGAGACACAACAGAGAUAAUUUAAAACUCAUUUAAGUUAUUACAAUUGGGGCUGGGCAUGAUGACCUAAUAGGUGUGCAUUACCAAUGCUCAUGGUUCCAUAAAAUAUCAUUACUGAGGCUUUCAAAAUGGUAAUGAUGCUCUAUUUACUCAGACCCUUAUUUCCCAAUGUGUUUAACAGAUCAGCACAAAAGAAAAACUUUCAUCACUAGAAAAUGGUAACCAGAGCACUAAGGAGGCAAUCGCUGCUACUUAAAAGAAAAGAUGAAAUAAGAGAGUGGAAAGCACAACCUAAAUUGCCAGUCACCCCUAUUGAGGCAAUCAGUGCCUCUACUUUGUAGAAUGAAUGUAGUUUGACACCACUUUAGCUAUGAUGGCUCAAUGCUAUGGAACCCGGGAGUUGUAGUUCAUGAGACACUAGCACUCUUCGAUCAUGUAAAAUGACUACUCGCAUGGUUUCAUAGCAUUGAGCCAUAGUAGUUAAAAUGUUGUCAAGCCGUUCCCUGUGUUAGACACAGAACUAUAUAUUAAAUAUGACAUGAUAGUACUGAAAAUGGCAUCCCUUGGUGAAGUCUUUUUAUAGCUCGGUCAUGCCCAUUCAAGAAUUUUUGUCUUGUUUUUUGUUGAACCUGGUCUGAUGGAGCUCCAAUGUAAUCUGUAUUACUCUGUAAUGCUUAGUCUGUUUUAAUUUGAUUGUUGUAUUUGUGAUGCUCCCUUUUUAAUGCAUUUUGUUUUAUUGCUUGCGUUUGAUUUUAUGCCCUAUGGACAUUUGUCCCAUUUGUAAGCCACCCCCGAGGCACUUCAGGGAGAUGGUGGUGAGGGUAUAAGAAUAAAGUUAUUAGUAUUAUUAUUAUUAUAAAUUCACCCUGUAGUAUUUACUCCGUAUAGAAUAUAGCCUGUAUUGAGAUGCCAUUAUUCUGUGUCCUUCCUGUUGAUAUUUUUAUUAGGCAGAGUGCAGCAGGAGUACCGCAGUGUGUACUUAUGACAAAAAUAGGUAGUUAGGAUGUUCUAGUAAGGUGAAAUGAAAAACUUGUGUUUGUUGGCUCAGGAAGUGACUCUUCCCAAUGAUAAUGAUGCUCGGACAUAGCUGAUAUAUGGCAGUGGGAGGAUGGCACUGACUACAUGAUGCAGCUUCAUGCCCCACAACAUGUUUUCAAUUCAUGAGAGUGAACCAUAUGAAUCUCCCAUUUAGGUUUUAAGAAUUCUAUCUUUUUCAAAACGGAAACAAAUUCAUUUCUGCCCAUUCUUUCUGCAGCACACAGCAUCCAAGAAAAUGCUCACCUGCUUAGCCUCAUCCUCCUUACUGAAAGAUUCAAAGGCAGAUGAAAUACCUCUUAUGACAGUGCACAAAUGGGAGAGUGUUAAAACGUAAUAAGAUUUUUAUCUAUGUACUUGCGAGCAUCUGGAAGUUGUUGCCAUCCGUUGGGUGAUAUGAAAUGAGUAGCACUGUUUGGGAAAUGGCUUCAUUUUUAAGAAAGCUGUAUUUUCAACAGCCCAAUUUAGACAUCCCAGUAACAAAUAUUUGUACAGCAAGCCCUUCCAUAAAAGCCUGCAUUCUUGCCACUACGUUAGCAAUUUUCCAAGCCUGGCUGGAGAUUGAACAAGCACUGAGACUGCACUCUCAUUUUUCCUUUUCCGUGGAGCAGAACACAGAAGCCAAAAUGGGGACAUAUUUAUUGUAAAGCGGUGAGUGCCAGCAGAAAGUAAAUCCACAUGUAGCGAAGUUGUUCCCUGGUCUUUCAUUUUACAGAAGAAGCCUUUUGAAUUAAGUCAUUCCAAGCAAUCAGAUUUGAAAAGUAAAAGGCCGACUAUUUGUGGGAUAUAUAGGGCUUAUUUCCAGCACCAGAAAUAGGGCACUUAGCUGGCAGAUUAAAACCAGUGUGUAAUCAUUUAUACUUAGUUGGUUGGUCAGAGUCAUAUACAGAAGAACCUGAGCAAAUGAAGAAAAUAGGUUAACUGCAAUUUAACUAGGAAUGGAAAAGAAACUCAUAUUAAGUGAAUUAUUGCACAGUAUUAUCCAAUUUGUGGUCUUUGUGACAGUGAAAGAAAGCAUGUUAGUAUCUUCUGGUUUUUUCUCAUUGUGAGAAGAUCCUAAGCAGCAAAUUCCCCUUUAUUCAUUUUCCUUUCCAAAUUACAGUGGGCCCUUUGUAUCCACUGGAAUUUGGUGCCAGGACUCUCUGUGGAUGCUGAAAUCCAUGGAUGCUUAAGUUCCAUUAUAUACUGUAUAAUGUCACAGUAAAAUGCUGUCCGUUAUAUGAAAUGGCAAAAUCAAAGCUUUCCUUUUGGCUUUUUGAAAAGUGUAUUUUUAAACGAUGGGUGGCUGAAUCCAGAGGGAUAUGGAGAGUUGGCUGUAUACACAAAUGAAGGAUAAUUCAAAAAUCAUUCUUUCUGAACAUGUGUGCAAACAUGUUUUUUUGUUAACAGGAAAUGUAUAUAUACAUGCAGUCCACAAAUUGUAAACAUCUAACUUACAAACAAUUCAUAGUUAAGAACAGGGGUGAAACAAUAGGAAGUGAGAGAAAUGUACCCCUAGGAAGGAAUUUUCACUCCUGAAAGAGGUAUAAUGGGGGAAAGCUGUCUCAACUGAAGCUUUAUCAUCAAUCCUUGUUUCCACAAGAAGCCAGAUUUUAUAAAAUCUAAUUAUCACAGGGAUAGAAAGUGAGGUGAAAUUUUCUAAAGAGCAGCACAGACAGCAACACAAACGCCUCAGAGGUGUUAACCCUUCCCUAUGCUAUCCAAAGCUUUUUUUGUGUGUCAGGAGAUAUAUAUAUGUGGAAUUGCACUUAAAAUGUAUCUGUUCUGACUAACAAACAAAUUCAAUUUAAGAACAAUAUAACCUAUCUUGUUUGUAAUUUGGGGACUGCCUAUAAUGAUACAUGCAUUAAAAUCCUAUGGGGAAGCUCUCCUUGGAGAACCUAAGAAGGGAGUUUGAAAGCCCUUGUUCUUGGAGCAGAAUGCUGUUUCAAUGGAGUUCUUUCCCAUUCCUGGUCACUGACUGCUUUCCUGAUGCUCACAUUGUUUUAAUUUUUUCUUCUUCUUAAAAUUCUUUAAAAUCAUUCUUUUUUAGUCUCUCUCAUUUUGAUUUUGAUAACUUGCUUGCUGUGUUGCAUUUUUGUGACUUUCACCUUUAUCUUAGGCCCCUUCUACACUACACUACAUUCCAGGAUGUGAUCUCAGAUGAUCUGCUUAUCCCAGAUUAUCUGGUAGUGGAGACUUGUGUAAUCCAGUUCAAAGCAGAUAAUCUGGGAUCAGAUCCUGGGAAAUAAGGACAGAGUGGAAGGGGCCUUACUUUGAUUGGCAAUCUGUUCAGUAAUUACAAUGUCAUUAGCCACUUAUAAUAUCAUAAUGACAGCAAUUAAUGCUUAUAGCUAUUGCAUUAACAAAGUACCUCCAAAAUCCUACCUUUGAAGAUUCACACACAGACACAGAAACACCACAGCCAUUUCCAAGACACUGGAAAGUGAAAAGGUGAGUAAUGAGUUUUCGCACAGUUGCAAAGUGCAACAGGGUCUUGACAAAACCCUGAAUCUCUUCAGUUACCUGUCUCAAUAAAUUCUUCAACUGUAGGAGCACUGGAUCAUAAUUGGAUCAGAUCUGACUACAAAAUGCUGUCACUAAACAAAUGCAAGCUGAGGUCAAGUUCACCAUGAACUUAGUUUCAAAGUGGAGAUCGGAACUUUAAGAGAAUAAUACUAGUCACUUCACCACUCUGACUUUUGUACUUAGAUAUUGUUUAAAUACAGGGUAGUUCAAAAAGAUGGACCCAUAUUAAAAUUGUUAUAUUGCUAUCACCACAAACUGCCCAUGAAUCAAACACCACUUGAAAGGGUUUCAAAUAACUGCCGAGUUUCAAAUAACUGCCGUUAGAUGCCUUUCCUAGCCAUAGUGAUUCACAAGAUGGUGACCCCACAAUAUAAGGUCUAAUAAGAUAUUUUCCAUUUGCAGUGUUAUUUUUAGAUUUGUUUCUGGCUCAAAAUGGUUAAUAAAACUUGAUAACUCAUUAAAUCACUUUUUGUGUAAUUGUAACAAGUUGCCAUCGUGAAAUACACUGCUUUGAAAUUGGGUUGAAACAGCUAACUAUUUCUUCUGAGUGGGCUGAAGAGCUGUAUUGCUUUCCUUGAAAAAAAAAAUAUCACAAAUUGCCUCUUCCCACUACACAAACACACAAUUUGUUUUACAGAUAUCUUUAGCCGGAUCUCUUUGAGGAAACUGUUGUGAACCCUUAUUUGUAUCCCUGAAAAAUUCAUGUUGCUCAGUUUUCAUUCUGUCCUUCCUCGGUUGCCCUCUAGCUCCCCAAUCAGUAAGUAAUUUUAGAGGAUUGUUUUAUUUGCUAUUGCAUUCGACAUAUAUCUGCUAUAUCACUUGUGGUCAGAUUUUAUUAUUUCUCUCUGCUGUUGGAAUCUAUGUAUUUCUGUCUGCUAUUUGAGAUUGAAAAUGUCACCCCUAUUUUUGUUCAGGCUCAAUUAGCUUAUUGACAUUCUCUCAGAACUGAGAGUCUCAGAGCUGGGUGAGAGGCAUUGAAUGAAUGAUUAUGUAUGUACAGUAUUUCUGAAGCAAAGAUUGGACUGGUAAUAUAUCUUCUGUGCCUGAAGAGGAAAGAAUAGUACAAAAAGAGAAGAAAGAGAGGCAGAACACUUUAUCCUGUGCGUAUUUGAUUUUUAAUUUUUAAUUUACACUCAUCUGCUUUAUCAUUAUAAAUUAAUUAUUGUCUCUUAUUGCAUACAGGAAAGUUUCUGACACAAGUUUCUCAGAUUCAACAAAAGGAUCAUCAGAAAAAAAUUUGACAGAAAAGCCAACCAAACAAAACGAAUACCACGGAAGUGAUCAAAUCAAUGGCAAGAAGCAUUCAGGGACUUCAAACUAUUUUCUAGAAUCAAAGCGAAGUUCCUAAAGGGGCUAAUUAGGAAGGCAAUAAAUCAUUAAAGGCUUCUCAUUUGUGAAAUUCUAUUCACUCAUUAUAAAAGCCUUGUUUGUUUCAGUCAGUCUCACUCACCGGAAUGAUCAAACUGAAGGCCUCAAGAUAGAACGACACUGGAAAUUCAUAUGCAUCAUUGCCCAGCGUGACAUGGAAGAUGCUGUGAAUCCCAAAUGCAUCAAUAGCGAAGGAGAUCUCCUUCCCUUCAGGGAAUUCCUUUUGACAUUGGCUUGGACUGCAGCCAUAUGGCAAUGAAACUCAUUGAUCAGGGAUUCUCAAAACAUGGUUGAUAAGAAUAAGAGAAUAAUUGUGUGAUAUGCGACGGUAUUGUGAACAGAAAUAGAACGGACAAAACAAUACGUAGAAUUAAUGUCAUUACAAACUAGUUAACAACAACAACAAAACACCAGUGUUCCAGAUGCCAUUGGAGCAUAUGGCUAUGUGCAAAAGGACUACUAGGCAUAGCUGAGAAUGCCUGCAUCAACACAGCAUGAUGAUUUUGGAUCACAGAUUAGGUAACUGGUAAACUAUUAUGUAAGGGAGACUGAAAGGUAACUGGGGAUAUGUUCAUUUUCUAAUUCUCUAUCUGUUUCACCUCUACUGUUUUUAAUAAAUUAGCGUGUUCCUGAUUGAAGACCAUAUUUCAACUGCCCCCAAAAGUACUACACAUGUUAUUUUCCAACUGCACAAGAUGUGCAUAUAACAUUACAAUUAUGCUUGCCACCUGUGCCAGUCCUGUCAUACGUCUUAGCACUGUUCCUAUGGAUGCAAAUCUUCAGCUAUUUCAUCCCUGUAUAUGAUGAUGAAUUUGCAGCAAUUUUCUUCACGCAGUGGCAGAAAUCAAAUUCUCCACAUUUUUCUCUAUAUUUGAAUGUCUCCAUAUUUUUCUCCAUAUUCCUUAGCAAACACUUCAGGCUUCCUAAGGAAUUAUUUUUGUGGAGAAAAUAAACUUUUGUGUGCAAAACUCCCAUAUGUUUCCUACAGAGGAGGCAGUGUUUUCUGAGUAGAAAACCCCUUUUUUCCGACAGAAAAGAGGGUACUAUGAAAAAUGAAAACUCAAUAAGUUUUUCUCCACCAAAAAAGUUUUCUCCAAUAUUUUGUGAUACUUUAAUACCUGGAGAAAAUUGAGCAAACUUUUUGCUGGACUGUUAUUUUUCCCAACAGAGUUUCCUGAUCAGGGGAUGUUUUCUGGUCUGGGGAUAUUAUUAUUGUUGUUGUGGUGGUGGUUUUCAUGUAUAUCACACCUUUUUCCCAGCAAUGGGAUUCAAGGCAGCUAACUACAUAUUGAAAAAUGAAACCAGUUAAGAAAUAUAAAAGUGUGAAUAUAAAAGCAGCCUAAAAUUAAUUUAACAUUUAAUAAAGUCAAAAUCUUAAACAUUAAAAACAUUAAAAUCAAUUUUAAUGUUAUGCAAAUAUUAAAUCAAUAGCAUAUUAUUUCUGUCCCUAUUCCUAUAGUAUUAUUGCCACUAGUUCCACGGGCAGGUGUGGUUAUAUUAAACAAUAAGUGUUAUUUUAUUAAAGACAAUUUAAUAUAUGGACAUUACUUCACUCUGCAUGUUGCAAUAAAUAAACACUGAAGUUAGCUGUUAUCUUUCUGUUUUUCAGGUGCUACAGCCAAACAUGUCUUAACUCAUUGUGGACUCUUUUCUCACACAAUCUUUUUCUCCCUUCAGGAUUUGGGCCUUUUACUCUUUUCACUCAAAUCCCCAUUCUAUCCGAAUCUCUUAUUAACAUGCUCCCCACAUCUUUCCAACAUCAUCCAAGUCAUUUUUUCAACCAGAAAUUCACUCUGUAUAACUUUCUCACAGUCUUCUUACAUUCUUCUAACCAUAUACCAUGUAAUAUCACAAUGAAAAUACAUAAGCUAUUUUAUAUAUGUUUCUGUUAUAUAGUGUGUAUGUGUGUGUGCAUGUUCAUAACAUCUGAUAGCAAAAUAGCAUGGCUUAAUUCAUAUUCAAGAAAAGUGUUUAUGAAAAGAUUAAGAAAUGCUCAUUCUGAGUCCUCUUUGAAUAAUGUUUUAAAACAUGAUGGUUUUCUUUGGGAGCAAGUAAAACUUUCAUCAACUCCACAGAUGUUCCAAGCUCACAGAAAUCAUUACUGCUCUGCUGGAGGCAAAGGAAGGAAGAAAGCUCAACAUGCCGUCUUGUUUUCAAUAUGUUUUGAGCAGAAUUCUUUUCCAGGGGAAUGCUUAAUUGCAACCCAUUUCAGUCUGUAGUCCCUUCAAGCUCUAUUAUGAAAGCCUUCUAAAUACUAAAAUGAGUUGUGUCAAUGGGCUUUAUGGCACAAAGGUGACAAACUGGCAUCAAAGCAGAAACGUCAGCAUUAAUGAUAGUUUAUAUUGUACAAUCCUGUGUGCAACAUGUUACUGGUCUGCCGCUUUCCAUGAUAAACACCUCUCCUGCUAUUGAUGGGGAAAACCACCAAUGUCCCCUGAUUUUGCCACAGUCUUGUCACCUAUCUUGUAUGAAGAGCUGGAUCCACUCCUAUACCAGAAUAGAAGUGACAUCAGGGGAUAGGAUUACCUGCUCUCCCACUCUCCUUUACAGUGGUGCAAUCAUUUAAAGUUUUUUAAAUUCCUAAACUUUUCUGCCAUUAUAAAGCUGCUUUUAAAAAUAUUUUUAAAAUGGAGCUACAUGACUGUGGGUAGGUGGAGUAAUGUCCCUAACAGGAAGUCCAGCCGUGGGACCACAGAGUAGUGAAUCAUUCCAGCUGCAAGAUGGAGAUGUGUAAUAGUAAAGGUGAUCAUCUCUGUAAGUGCUAGAGCCUGAAAGGCUUAUGUCUGAAAAAUUGUGAAGAUCUGACCAUUUUAUACCACCAUAUCACAGAAUCAUAGAAUCAUAGAGUUGGAAGAGACUGCAGGGGCAUCCAGUCCAACCUCCUGCCAAGAAGCAGAAAAUCGCAUUCAAAGCACCCUUGACAGAUGGCCAUCCAGCCUCUGCUUAAAAGUCUUCAAAGAAAGAGCCUCCACCACAGUCCAGGGCAGAGAGUUCCACUGCUGAACAGCUCUCACAGUCAGGAAGUUCUUCCCAAUGUUCAGGUGGAAUCUCCUUUCCUGUAGUUUAAAGCCAUUGUUCUGCAUCCAAGAAUCCAGGGCAGUGGAAAACAAGCUUGCUUUCUCCUCCCUAUGACUUUCCCUCAUGUAUUACUACAUGGUCAUCAUGUCUCCUCUCAGCCUUCUCUACUGCAGGCUAAACAUAUACAGCUCUUUAAGUCACUCCUCAUAGGACUUGUUCUCCAGGCCCUUGAUCAUUUUAGUCACCCUCUGGAUACACUCCAGCUUGUCAAUAUCUCCCUUGUAUACAUUAAACCCUUUGUUAUAUAUGCAUGACUAAGUAACAUCUCCUGUCUCAAUGCAGCCCAGCUCACCUUAAGAAACAGCACUGGGCAAUGCAGUUCUGUUCAUCUGUUGAUUAGGGCAUAAGAAGGAUAAAAUUCACAGCCCCCUUUCCCCAGUAAGCAAAUUUAUAAUGAAAAAUUGCUACAGGGGUCCUCCUUCUGGUGGUUAAAAGCGUACUCACUAGUGGAAUGAGGCUGCAAUUGUUAUCUUCCUUUUAUUCCAACUUGCAUCUGAAUCAAAUCUUAUUCUCCUGAUGUAGCUGAUGAUUGUUAAGGUGGGCUUGAGGGUGGUAUUUGAAUUGCUCUAGGUUAUGAAUCCAUAAUUGUAAUACAAAAUGCAAGCUAGAAUUAAACUGAAGAAAUUGUCAAAAUAAUUAUGACAGAGCUUUUUGCCCAAGAGAUUUUUUUUUUUGCAUCUCUAUGAGCUUGAAAAAGUUCUUGAAGAAAAUAUUGACAAUCUGUUUUUUUCAAACAAACUGUUGGAACUAAGGAAAGUAUAAAUGUGCUUUCAGAAGUUACUAUGUGCCACCAGGAGGCAACAGAAGUAGAGAUGGUUAGGGAUUCUGGCCGUACUCCUUCCUUCCGUUCAUUGCUUUGUUGCUUCCUUGUUCUCAGCCUUAACUUCAUUUUCUCCCACCUGUUCCAAACUUCUCUUAAUAAAAAUGUAAGUAAAGGUCACAGAACCCCUUUUCUCUCUCUUUGUGCCAAGUAUGUUUUUCACUUCAGGAAAACUUUCUAUUCACUGAAGACAGCCUUUGCUGUUGAUUCCAUUCCCCCAUAUUUCCAACAUGGAUUUUAUAAAAACUGUAACUAUUUUAUACAUUGUUCAUUAUAAGUACUUUAUAAGUGAGAGCUAAUGCCAGGCCAUCCUCCUUUUAUGUUGUGUUAUAAGCUUUGACAAAAGCACAUGUAUCUUUAUAUUCUACUCUGAGAUACUUUUUAUUAGCAGAAAAGCAGGGUAAAAAUGGCCUGGCUUGAAAAAAGCAAAUUCAUGACACCUCUUGGUGACAUGCAGAGGCAAAACUGGGGUACAUAUCAAUGUAACUACCUUUGCAGACAUUGUUCAAUAGCUCAAUUCUUUUGCCUAUUUCUGCAAUGACAGCCACAUGGGAUUUGAUAUAAGUCCACGUCCUGACCUGAACUGGAGGACCUUUUGUUGGGACCUGCACUUGCACAGAAUGUCUGAGAAUUGGGAAGAUAUUUGUAAUAACACUACAAAUCAGCAACUUUUGAGCUUGGAGUGAGGAGGAGGGUUAACCUUGCUAUUAGCCAAACUGAGAUGGUUGCUUUAGACAGCAGACUGUCAGAAACCGUAAAUUUGGCUCUCUUCCCUUUCAUAAUUUUGGGGAGUCACUGCUGCUUUUUUGUAGGUUUCUAAACUUGGAUGCUGGGCUCUGGAUGUUAGGCUCUGAGGACUCGGAACAGCUAGAGAUUGUGCUUGGAUUGUCCUGAGAUAGCACCUAUUCAGCCAGUCUCCCCAGUCUGCCAACAAAACUGGGUUCUGUGAAGUUCUCAGAUAUGCUCAACCCAUAAUACCAUCAGUAGGAGGUUUCCUCUCAUGGCAUCCAUAUGAGAUUCUGAAUUAUCAGAUGUGGAUGGGGGGAUUAGGGCCAUAGUUGUUGGAAAGGCUAAAAGCUCAACCAUCAUCCAAAUAAUGGUCUUAUCCAGUUUUGGCCCUCUUUCCUUCCAUCACUUUUUUUUUUAAAAAAAAGAAAGGACAAAUACACCAGGGUGAACAUUACAAAUAAUACUAUUAUCUAAUUUGGUCUUGGGGCCCCUGGUGGCACAGUAUGCUAAAGCGUUGAGCUGCUGAACUUGUGGACCAAAAGGUCCCAGAUUCAAAUCCCGGGAGCGGAAUGAGCGCCCGUUGUUAGCCCCAGCUCCUACCAACCUAGCAGUUCAAAAAACAUGCAAAUGUGAGUAGAUCAAUAGGUACCGCUCCAGCAGGAAGGUAAUGGCGUUCCAUGCAGUCAUGCUGGCCACAUGACCUUGGAGAUGUCUAUGGACAAUGCCGGCUCUUCGACUUAGAAAUGGAGAUGAGCACCAACCCCCAGAGUCGGUCACAACUGGAUUUAAUGUCAGGGGAAACCUUUACCUUUACUAAUUUGGUCUUAAUGUUGAACUUCGAUGAUAUUACUCCAGGAUGAAGAGAAGUCAAACACAUCUUGUUCAAAGGUUCAGUUUUAUAUGUUGGAUGGCAGUGAUGCUGCAAUUUCAUUUCUUCCCAUAAUCCCAGAAAUAAAAGAACUCCAAGGCAAGAAGUAGUUAUCAAAAUAUUUAUUCACCCUGCAAUUCUUGUGUUCCCGUUUCCCAGAAGGAAUAACAACAUUAAUCCAAAGAAUAAUUCAAAAUAUAGCCCAGGGGUGGCACAGCUGUAGUCUUCCAGAUGUUGCUGGUUUCCCACCAGCUCCAGUCAGCAUAAGAUAGAUAUAUGAAAACUUUUUGCUCCAAAAAGUGUGGGGAAAUAACAAAAUAAUACCAGCUAUUUAUAUAUUUUAUACUACCGUGAAGAUUUUAGUGUAAAAAAAAAAUCCAGUCACAAUAUUUUCCUCAAGGGUAGGAUGAAGCUUCAUUGGGGAAAAGGUUUAAUCAGCAAAUUUUGAACUCUCUAAAAUCAUUAGCACUAGGGGAAAAAAUAAAAUAAAAACAAACAGCAUUCCAUACCACUAAUAAUAUUUCAGGACUUAAUGAGCUGUUGCCUUUAAUGACCAUACUUACAGUGAUAAGACUUGUUUCUGUAAUGAAAGCCAGUGCCAGAGAGUUAAUGCAAUGGGAUAGUCCCUUUCAGCUGCAGCUGUGUCAGAAAGGAACCUCUAUAUGAUUUAUUGGGCAUAUAUGUAACUUGUUUGCAAUUUGUAUCUGACUGGGCUGGGCACAAGCAGAGGAAGUCAACUAAGACUACACCAUGGGACCACUGCCUGUAUCCCAGACCCGCCUUGUGGGAACAAGGGAGAGGGCCUUUUCUGCUGUGGCCCCCCGUUUGUGGAACUCACUGCCCAUCGAAAUCAGGCAAGCCCCCACUCUUUUAGCCUUCAGGAAAGAUUUAAAAACCUGGCUUUUCCGAUGUGCUUUCGGAGAGUAACUAUUACACACUUCUUUUGUUACUCCCCCCAACAUCUAUCCUCUAGAUUGUUUUUCUAUCUUAUGUCCCUGUUCCCCGUGGUUGUAUUCUUAUCCUUUUCUCACCCCAAGUUUUAACUAAGUGUCUCAUGCUCUGUUAUAUUGUUUUUUUUGUUUUUGUUUUUUUUGUUUUUGUGUUGCACUGUACAUGAUUAUUUAUUGUAUUGUUUAAUUGUAUUAUGAUAUAUUGUUUUUAUAUUUUGCUAUAUUGUACUGUUCUGGGCAUGGCCCCAUGUAAGCCGCCCCGAGUCCCCAUUGGGGAGAUGGUGGCGGGGUAUAAAUAAAGUUUUAUUAUAUUAUUAUUA